GAUGAACGCUGGCGGCGUGCCUAAUACAUGCAAGUCGAGCGAACAGACGAGGAGCUUGCUCCUCUGACGUUAGCGGCGGACGGGUGAGUAACACGUGGAUAAGCUACCUAUAAGACUGGGAUAACUUCGGGAAACCGGAGCUAAUACCGGAUAAUAUAUUGAACCGCAUGGUUCAAUAGUGAAAGACGGUUUUGCUGUCACUUAUAGAUGGAUCCGCGCCGCAUUAGCUAGUUGGUAAGGUAACGGCUUACCAAGGCAACGAUGCGUAGCCGACCUGAGAGGGUGAUCGGCCACACUGGAACUGAGACACGGUCCAGACUCCUACGGGAGGCAGCAGUAGGGAAUCUUCCGCAAUGGGCGAAAGCCUGACGGAGCAACGCCGCGUGAGUGAUGAAGGUCUUCGGAUCGUAAAACUCUGUUAUUAGGGAAGAACAAAUGUGUAAGUAACUAUGCACGUCUUGACGGUACCUAAUCAGAAAGCCACGGCUAACUACGUG
rnacentral:rRNA from 1 species